GACGUAGGGGGCCAGCGUUGUUCGGAAUUACUGGGUGUAAAGGGUUCGUAGGCGGUGCGGCAAGUUGGGAGUGAAAUCUCUGGGCUUAACCCAGAGGCUGCUUCCAAAACUGCUGUGCUUGAGUGUGGGAGAGGCGCGUGGAAUUGCAGGUGUAGCGGUGAAAUGCGUAGAUAUCUGCAGGAACACCCGUGGCGAAGGCGGCUCACUGGCUCAUUUCUGACGCUCAGGCGCGACAGCGUGGGGAUCAAACAGG
rnacentral:rRNA from 1 species